ensembl:lncRNA
CCUGGUGCCAACUGUGAGGAGUACAGGAAUGCUGAUUUCAAAUACCUGAGUGGGAAUGGAGCUUGCUGGACCCCACGGCCACCCUGUAAGUAGGUUAGUGCUAUUUUCCCCACCCCUCUUCCUCCUGCUGAGCACUGUUGCCUGUCAGUGUGGCGGCCCUGUACUCAGGGUGCAUGUCAUGUCACUUGGCCUUUGGCCUUACCUGAGAACUCAGCCCCUUGGUCAGAUGUUGAGGUCUGUGGCCUCUGUGCAGCUGGGGGGCACACACAGGUGCUUGUCUGUUGCUCAUGGAUGUAGGUUUAUUCCCAGGCAUUGGCUGUGUUGCGUUGUCCUUCCCUUCUGGAAAGUCACGUGUGUGUGUUCCCAUUCCUUUCCUUGUUGGCGUUUGUAGAGUGACUGAGCAAUUGAGCUUUCCCUUUUAGGUCUCCACAAAAAUGGCUGCAGCUUAGCUUGGACUUCCUAGGGGGGAAUGGAGGACUCAAUGCGUGCUGCAAGGGGGGUGUUCCCUCUUAGUCCCGCGAGCACAGCGAGUGUACUGUCUUGCCCCUUUUUUGUUAGGCCAGAUCAGAGCCUCAUGGUAGUUCUGUGGCUGAGGCCACCCUGUAGCCAGGGCUUGGGCCUGUCCCUGUGUGGCCGCCUGUCUUGCUGGCGAUGUGACAGCCCUGUACUUGGGGUGCGUGUAACAAAGCUGUGGAGCCCCUCUUGUCCCCGGAGCAGCUUGCCCUGCCUGUAACCAGGUCUGGGGUGGCUGCAGUGCUGCAGCUGACUGCUUUAGCCAUUCAGUUGGUGGGAAUGACCCCUCCCUGGCCUGUUGAAGGAUGCAGGUUGAGGUGCUGCUUUGUGGUUGGGGUGAGCUCCCUGCUGUGUGGGUUGUGCCAGGGACACUUCCUGGGCUCCCAAAGAUGUGGUGUUGUGCUGCAGCUGGGCGGACUGGCCUGUACCUCGGGCGUUGGUGGGAGCCACAUCCUUUGGGAGCUCCCUUGGGAUGUUGGGUCCUGGUUUGCUGCAGGUGCUGCUCAGGUCUGAUGGUGACCUCUUUCAUUUUCAGGAGCUGCUGCAGAAGAAAGAAGGAGCAGCAUGUGGAAGUGUGUGAUGUGGGGCCUGAAAGAGAGAACUGGCAGUCUUAUAACAUUAGCUGUUGCUGUGUGGUGUUUCAAGAUAUUCUUGCCUUUUUUUAAUAACUCUUUCCAGCUCUGUACAGCCUUCUACCUUUUUCUUUAUUAAAUGUGUUUUAGUCUCUGUUUGUUAUUUCCCUCUCUGUCCUUCGUCUGUACUUGGUUUUGUUAUUAUUCCAUGGAAGUUACUGGUUUACUAUUGAAUGUUAUUGUUCUUCUGCAAGUAAUCUGGGGCUCUCUUCCUCCUGUCUUGUGAAUAGCAGGUUUUGGUAGCUGAAUGAGGUAUCUCUGCUUGCAGGAUGACUCUUCUCAACUUUGCUCCCAUUGGGUUUUUGCAGUGUUUUUUAUCAGUUGCUGGGUAUUUACUCUGCUGUGAGUGCAGAAGUGGGUGUGCUCAUGGAUGAAUACAUGUUCCUGAUCCCCUUUAAUUGGUAUCUGUGUUAUAUCUGCUGUUGGUUUUUUUUUUUUUCCUAUUCCCUCAUUCCUUCUGUGUUCUUGAUUAUAUUGCACCUUCUGGGAUGAUGGACCUGAUCAUGUUUUCUGGUGUUUUUGUUUCUGAGUAUUCUUUACCUUUAACCAUGCAGGUAGCUCACUUUCUUGGGAUGUGGGGAAAAAAUAUGUGAGUACAGUUCAUGGCUUGGGAUAAAAUCAUUUGUUUUCUGAAAUAAAGAAAAGGAAGUGGGAAGAAAAGGCUAAUAGUUAAUAUAAAUAUGUGUACAACAAGUGCUGCACAAGCAAUUGCUGAUACAGGUGUUCAAUAGGCAGGCCUCCACUGCUCUUUUUUCAGACUGUCUGCAUGAUGUCAUAUGCUAUGGAAUAAAUUUCCCUUUGUCUAGUUUAGGACAGCUCCUUCUGCUGAGUCACAGAAGAAGCUGUGACAACUAAAACUCCCUUGACUCUGUACCUCAGCUUCGACUAGAAAUGUCAGUGUGUUAUCAACAUUUUCUACUAAAAUCAAAACAUAGCAUCAUACCUGUUGCUAAGAAAGGCAACUUUGUCCCAGAUGAAAUUAAGGCAAUCUCCACCUCUUAUUCCAUACCAUCAAUGUCAUGCUCAGGCCCCAUAAUUUUUUAUACAUCUUAAGUAAUUACUGCUAUCUUGAUAUAUCCAUGCACAUAUCUUUCCUAUAGUUUAUGAUCCAUGUAUGUAAAUUGUCCUUUAAGUUCAUUUAGUUUGUGAUGUUGAGCUCAACCUGUACUAGCAGUCUUUCAUUACAGGAGGAAUAUUUCACAGCACUGGGUUACUGCAUGCUAUAGCUAGUCCUGGUUCUAGCUGUAGGCAUUGUUCUUUAACUUGAGUGGUUCUUACUGUAAUACUUUUAACAAGGCAUAUACCAACCAUAGUGGUGAUGGCACAUAGUGUUACAUAGAAGCUGACAUCAUGCAAUUUAAGUUAUUGGCUGUUCUCACCCAGCAUCACGUCUCCUUGAUUACAUGCUAUGGCCAUCCCCAUUGCUCUGUGUCACCUAACUCAUGUACUGUGGUCCCUUGAGCAAAAAUAAUCCCAUGAAUAGGCUUAGCUUUCACCCAAGGCAGGAUUGACUUGGACUGCCUUGAACAGUGUCUUUAUGUGCACCACUGGGACUUCAUCCCCUCUGACAGUAUGCAGGAGGCUUGAUAGGACGAGACCAGCUCACCUGGCAGAUCCCCCAAGUGUUGACUAACCACGUAGCUUUUGCUAAAUGUCCCAGUGUUUGAAUGUCCCUGCACCUAUGGCUCUCAGUGUAGUCUUAACUGCCUCUGUGCUACUUGGUUUUUCCAAAGGUUGUGCAUGAGAGGGGAUGGAGUACAGGCACUUUGUGUCAUGCUGUUUAGCCUAGGUGGUUAGGUUGUUUCAGAAAUGAGUCCCAUAGUCUGACUCAAUUCUUUCUGGGGUACUGUGCUGCAUCAAUACUUGUUUUCCAAUGCCCAGGGGUAGUAUUUUGGGUGGAUUCUGUUGUCUUCUGUACCAAAGAGACUUUAUCUGCUUGGCUUGUUGAACUACAGCAUGUGUUUCACAGUCGUAGACCACUUGUGCAUUAGUGUUCCAUCACUCAGUCCAUCUAGUCCAACUCCUCUUUGCUGAACUGGAACAUCUACAGAGCCCCAUACAGCCUGACCUUGAGUGUCUCUAGGGAGGGGGCCUCCACCACCUCCCUGGGCAGCUUGUACCAGCACUUCACUCCCCUUACUAACUUGCCUCUGCAUACCUUCUUUGGCAGCAGUGAACUUUACAAAGAAGCUCUGUUUUUUUCUUUUUUUACAUUAAUUUGGUGUGGUCUGCAGGAUCCCAAGGAAAGAGAUGCUGGAAGGGGGCAGGAAUGGAUCUGCUGGAGGGAAUUCCAGGUCUGCUUGGGGUAGUCCUGGCCUGGAGAACAAAGAAUGGUGCAGGGAAGGCAUUGGGCUGCCUCACCAAGUGAAAACUUAUCAGCACAUGAAUGGUAGCAGCACAUCCAUGGAUAUGUAUAUUCCAAUUGGUACUUACAGGGAGAGUGGAGAAUGCAGAGACAAGGGUGGAUGCCCCAUUCCUGGAGGUGCUCAAGGCCAGGCUGGGUGGGGCCCUGGGCAGCCUGACCUGUUGGAGGGCAACCAGUCCACUGCAGAGGAUGGGGCUGUGAGGUCUCAUCCAACCUCAGCCUCUGUGAUUCUGUGAUAAGACCCAGCUAGAUAUUCUGCAGAGCCAGAAACAUGCCUGGUGCCUUCCAUGCGCUACGUUUGUUAUGCACCUUCCUCAGAAAGUUCCUGACCUAAAACACAUGGAAAAAGAUGGAAGUGUUUUUGCUGGCUUCAGUUCAUCUGAGAUGAGCCAAAAGUCUUGAAUGGAGAAUACUUUAGUGGAAAUGAGAUACUGUUUUCAGUCGACCUUUUAUCAACCUAAAGAUCCAUGCCUCAAAAGAUUUAUUCAGGGACUUCCUUGUUUACUGGCAUUAUUCAUGUCAGUGACAAGUGCCUUUCCAUAUCUGAUCUGUAGGAAAAAUCUCCCUUUUCCCCUCUCAAUUGUAUGUAGUCCAAAGCUAACUGCAUCUUAGUACUGAGAUUGCUUUCUCCUUGAAUCAAAAUAUUUUGGUUCAGCCUGUGUAUUUUCACAGAUCUUAGCUAAAUCACAAACAAUUUCAUUUCUGUAGCAUCACCAGGCUGACAGAUGUUUCACACAAGGAGCUUUUCAGAAUCUUUCUCUCCCCCACUACAGUCUGAGCAAGUACCUGAACGCUUCCUAAGAUGAUAUGCAACAGCUAUAAGAGCUGUAGGAGCAGCUGUAGCUGAGGAUGCAGUAGAUAUUUGGAUACCUGUACCUUAUUUCCAUGUGCAGUCACAAGGACAGAAGUGGAAAGCUAUGUGCAGUAUAUGUCUCUUUUUCCAAAGUCUGUUCCCGUAUAUUUUUCUGCAUAACUGAGAUUAGAAGACAGUGAGAGCUGCUUUACACAAAUUCUUUCCAUUCUUUGCUUUUGCUGUCCCUGAAUUUUGCAGGAAUGAGGACUUAAAUUAAAAGAGCAGGUGUCCCACGAGUAACCAUUGCUGCUGCCUGUCCCUCCAUUAUGCAUUGUUGUGUUUAUAGCAGUUAGAGAAGCAGCUUUGACGGUGAUUAGAGGUAGCAGCAAUUCUGCUCACCAAUGCCAACUGCUCAUGCAGGGAUCCAGGAGGAAAGCUGUCAUUGUGCCAUCAAAGGAUAAAAAAAAAAUUGCAACAAACAGUGGCACAAAAAGACUGUUUUAGAGAAAAAAUAUCUUCAAAAUCUUAAAUAAGUACAACCCAUAAGAGAAAGGGUUGAAUCUAAUGGGUGCCUUCAAUGAGCAUCACACCAGUUGAGGGCACGAAGAUACGUGAGCAAAGUGACAAAAAUGAAGCUCUGAGUAGCAUAAGCCUUUAGUAAGGGCUGCAUCUCUUUGGAAGGAAGAAGGACCUCUCUUGUUGAUGCAGCAAAGAGACAGAAAGUCGUUCUGCCAACACUGGUGCUGACAAGCCCAGCAGAUGAUUGUCAUCAGGCAAAUCAGAUGGGAGUUUCUACUGAAUGUCGAAUGCAGCUAAAGAUCUGAUUUGCCUUGCCUGCAGUCAGUCAGAGCAAACACCUACCCAGGCACUCAGCACCUGGGUAACUCCGCAAAGACAAGGAAAAGUCAGAAAUGGGCAACACCUUGCAGGGGAGGUUGUAAAUGGAAUGUAAUGGUCCAGAGAGAGGGGAAACCUCAUGCACAUGAAGGGUUAUGCCCACUUCUCCUGAAGGCGAUGUCUUGUUGGCCAUGUCAACAAGAGGGCAGUGGGCAUGGGUCUGUGCCAGCAGAAUUGCUUUUACAAUUCUCUCUCCCAAGUUCUACUCCGUUUCCAUGAGCAAAUAAACGGAUUGUUUAAUCUCCUGAGGCAGUGGAUUUAUCUGCUUUUAAAGGGGCUUUUAUAGUCCUUUCCUUGUGUUUUCUGCAAGGUGGCUGUGUGACAUGAAAAGUAUUAUUCACCUGUGCUUUUACAUG